GACUCAAAAUAAAUAAAUAUGCAGAAAUCUCUCAAUUAGUUUAAAAACUUUUCAUUUAUACCUUAUAACAAUUUCAGUACCAUUUUACCCCUAACUUCCCACUAAUACUGUUGAUAUGUCUUGUACCUCAAUACCACACGUCACUCCUUCUUCUCCAUCUAAAUCUCAGUAAACCUCACUUUCUUCAACCUCUAUCACCGUCGCCACCCACGGCCUACACUCCGACAACCACCUAUGAUUUCCGUUUAUGCUCCGACAACGACAACCGCCAACGCCUGCCGCGAUCCUCAACAUCAACCGACAGCCUUCUGUUUUACUCUCAGUUAGCCUUCUCUUUCUCGAUUACGACAAAUCAAAUCGAUCGAACAGAUGUACGAGAUUUAUAGAAAUUUUGGUACUAUUAUUUACAAAUGUUCCUAGAGUUGUUGAGUGCUGGUGUUUGAUUUAAAAGGAUGAGAAGCAUAUAGAGAUGAUAUCAUUUGAACGAUAUCGUGUAGUGCGAUAAUACUAUGGCUGAAUUCAGAAAUGAUAAUGCGAAUAGAGAUGGAUAACAUAUGCGAUCGCUGAAUCAGAUGCAGGCAAGGAAGAGGGGAAAAAAUGGGGAAAUUUGUGUGAUAGUCGAAGAAGUGCAACUCUUGAUAGAUGAAUUGUUGAUUAAUUGACAGCCUACUUGGGAAGAUGGCCAAAUUCUAUAUUAGAGUGUGGUUUGUGAAAUAGCUUAGUUUGUUUUGUUUUGUCUUGUCUUUCUCUGCAAACUUUUUGUUAGUUAUAAAAAAAAUGAAUUGAUUUUAGUAGGUUUUGGAUUUUAAAUAUAUUUACUAUUUUAUUUUGUAUUUUUUAUAA